rnacentral:lncRNA from 13 species
AUGGAGGCUACGGGAGCGCCGCACUGUCCCGGGGGCCACCCCCUCCCGUGGGCCCCGCAGGCAGUGGCUACGGUGGAGGCCUGGCCCUGGCGGAGUAUGACCAGCCCUAUGGCGGCUUCCUGGACAUUCUGCGGGGUGGGACGGAGCGGCUUUUCACCAACCUCAGGGACACCUCGUCCAAGGUCAUACAGUCUGUUGCCAACCGGCAACACCUUCUGCCAUGUUCCUUUGUUCUUUCCUUUGUGCUGUGGUGAUCACUGUUUUGUGUCCUCAGCACCAGGUAGACGUGUGCACUUGUGCCGGCAUGUGGCCCAGCAUCUUUGCACGUGUGAUAUUGGGUGCAUGUGUGCCUGUGUGUAAGCAUAUGUCUGUGACCGUGUGAGGACAUGGGCAUUAUGAACAUGCAUGUGUGUGAAUACUUGUGUGUGUGUACAGAUGACAUGGGCAUGUGUGUGAGUGCUGGUGCUUGAGUGCUCAUGUGAGCUGUGAGACUGUAUUGAGUGCACAUGUGCAUUCGUGUGUACAAGCAUGUGCAUGUGAGCAUGUGUGCAUAUGUGAGCUGUGUGCAUGUGUACGAGUGCCUGUGAUCCAUGCACAUGUCGGUGUGUGUAGGAGUGCCUGUGUGUCUGUGAACUGUGAGCUGUGUGCACGUGUCAGCAUGUGUACCAGUGCCUGUGAGCUGUGUGCACGUGUCAGCAUGUGUACCAGUGCCUGUGUGAGCUGUGUGCACGUGUCAUGUGUACAAGGGCCUGAGUGUGAGCUGUGUGCACGUGUCAGCAUGUGUACGAGUGCCUGUGUGAGCUGUGUGCACGUGUCAGCAUGUGUACGAGUGCCUGUGUGAGCUGUGUGCACGUGUCAGCAUGUGUACGAGUGCCUGUGUGAGCUGUGUGCACGUGUCAUGUGUACGAGUGCCUGUGUGAGCUGUGUGCACGUGUCAGCAUGUGUACGAGUGCCUGUGUGAGCUGUGUGCACGUGUCAGCAUGUGUACGAGUGCCUGUGUGAGCUGUGUGCACGUGUCAGCAUGUGUACGAGUGCCUGUGUGAGCUGUGUGCACGUGUCAUGUGUACGAGUGCCUGAGUGUGAGCUGUGCACGUGUCAGCAUGUGUACAAGUGCCUGUGUGUGACCUGUGUGCGCAUGUCAGCAUGUGUAUGAGUGCCUGAGUGUGAGCUGUGUGCACAUGUCAGCAUGUGUACGAGUGCCUGUGUGAGCUGUGUGCACGUGUCAACAUGUGUACGAGUGCCUGUGUGAGCUGUGUGCACGUGUCAGCAUGUGUACGAGUGCCUGUGUGAGCUGUGUGCACGUGUCAGCAUGUGUACGAGUGCCUGAGUGUGAGCUGUGUGCACGUGUCAGCAUGUGUAC